CGGGGUGAGUAAUGUAUAGGAACUUGCCUAGUAGUGGGGGAUAACGUGUGGAAACGCACGCUAAUACCGCAUACGCUCUACGGAGGAAAGCGGGGGAUCUUCGGACCUCGUGCUACUAGAUGGGCCUAUAUCAGAUUAGCUAGUUGGUAAGGUAAUGGCUUACCAAGGCGACGAUCUGUAGCUGGUUUGAGAGAAUGAUCAGCCACACUGGGACUGAGACACGGCCCAG
rnacentral:rRNA from 1 species